GAUGCUGGUAGAGCCUCUCAGAGUACAGCUAUGCUAGGCUCAUGUCUACAAGCACAACAUAGCAUAUGUAAUGGUAUAAUGGUUUUAUGGAUACCCAUUGAUGAUGGAUACCAAUUUGGUGUAGUCACUUGUAAGCCAGUCUCUGCUUCAUUUGCCCCCCUGCAUUUCUUUUAGACAUGAGCAUUUUUGGGUCAAAAUUUUGAAGGUGGGUUGUGUCUCCAUCCCUCCACUGGGGUCCCUGUCUAACUACUGCAUGUGGUCUCUUCAGGUUUCAUCUCCCAAUGGUUAGCCAUUUCACCUAAGGUCACACACAUUGAUGGCGCUAUAGACAUGUCAGAGUGGUUUUAAACCACAGGGUGGGUAUUUUCAAGCUUUAGUUAAAGUCAUGAAUUCCUUCUCCCUAUUUUUCCGGGACCUUUAUUAUAGAGUAAAGCCCUUCGCAGGCUUUUGUUUUUUGACAUUGACUACUGAAGUAGAAUAUCAUGUAAUGGAAAAUAUGCAUGUAUUUACUAUACUUGGGAUGAUUGCCAUAGAUACAAUAAUCUUUUGCAUAAAAUUUCAUUUAGUGCUUCAACACUCUUCCUGAAUUGUCAAAAACUUCUUUUGCCAGAAAAAAUUGGUUAUGGCAGACACACAUUAAUAUUUGAACAGAGAUAUAGCCUAUGUAUUUUGCUCUGAAUGUUUUCUGUGUAGUUAGUUGCAUAUCAUUUUGUUUGUGUGUCCAGAAAUAACUAAAAUUAGGUUUGACAGGUCAGUUAAGACUAAAGUAAUUUAUAGAGUUCUUAGGACCAAAAAAAUUUACUUCAUUGUUUGCCAAGGUUGUCUCGCAAACAAAACCUGUGUGGUGUUUAUGGUGAGUGUGUGUGUGUGUGUGUGUGUGUGUGUGUGUGUGUGUGUGUGUUUGCACGUGCACAGUUGUUUCUCAUUACAAGCCUUUUUCCUUUCACCUGCAAGUUUUGUAUUUUUUUUUGUAUUUUAUGCUUGUUUUCCAAAUCUUCUAUAAAACCAUGUUAUUAUAUUACAACCACCAUAGUGUGAGCACCUUUGUCAGCUGUUUGCUGUUUUUCUUAAGUCCUAAUUCUUAAAAUUGUCCACCAUUUUAUCUGUCCCAGAUCGCAGGGACUGAGCCCUAGCUAGUUAUGUUUCACAGGAGAGAAGUUCCUUUCCACCCUGAGCUGUAACUGGUUUCCAAAGCUUCCAAUGCAGCUAAUUGUAUCCUGAAGGUGGUGGCCUCUUCUCUCGCUCAGUCCUAACCACCUUCCUGAGCGUGCUCCUUGUGAGCCUGUGGAGCCAGAGGAUGCUGCACCAAGUGAUACAGCAAGGGCUGGUAGGUUUCUUUAUCUAGUGUGCUGGCUUCAGAUCAAUUAGUACUGCAGACUUCUGUCUCCGUCCUUCCUAGGCCAGUUGGGUGGUGGCACCAGUGUGAUCUCAGAUCUGGUCACAGUCAAGUUCUAUGUUUGACCACCUGUAAAUAACCUCUAAAUAAAUAGCCAGGUUCCCUCAUCUGUAGAACAGCUAGAGAAACAGAAUUCCAUAUGCUUUGACUGUUGUGCUUCUAAAAUUCAUGUUUUUCCAUUCUUUAUUAGCCUCUUAGAAUAUCUGUAAGACAGACAUUAGUGUGAUGUAAGCCAUUCAUUGGGGCCUCGUUUUCUCCCUACCUCUCCCUCUAUUUUGAAUGCUGUUAAGACUGCACAUGCCUCAUUUCCUAGGUAUAUUGUUUAUUCUUGUUUUCUGUAGUUGGGUUGAAUUUGCUGUCACAUCAAAGUUAUCGAGUUGCGUUUUAAUCCGGUACAACUCUGUGUUUUCCGAUCUUUGGAGUCAGUUCAUUGUGUUUAGAAGUUUAUUAAAAAUGGCAAUUUUUGAAAGCAUUUACAUGCAUAAAUGUUUAAGAUUCAUAUUAAAUAAGCGCUUGGCAUAUUUUCAAUGUUUCAGGUUUAAAAACAGUGUAAUAUACAUUUAUUCUGAAAGACUCAAUAAAAUUAUAGAAAUAGAACAUAAUUAUAUAACAUAUUCCAUAUGACAAGAGAAAACUAUCUUUUUGUGUUAUUCUGCUUUUCCUAACUAUCAACACAUUUUGACCUGUGUAUUCUAGGUUUUUUAAUAGUGAAAUAAUGUAUGAUAAAAUUUAUAUGCAAUCUAUGAUAAAAUUUAUAUGGAAUCUAAUUCUUCAAAGGUCACAUUUUAAAUCAAUCUGAUUAGAACAUAAUGGAAAAUGGGCCGGAAUAAGAUGUACAAUCAUGUACCAUGGAACAAUAAUUUUUAAUGGAAAAUUUAGUGUGAAAGAAAAGAUUUUGAAAGGAGAUUCUUCCUAUAAUUUUGCUGCUAUUUUUGAAACUUUGAACAUUUAAAAAGAAUAAAGUGAAGACGUAAUUUAAAAAGACUUUUUCAGUUCAUGGCUCUUGGUGUCAGAGAAAGUUUUGUCAUCUUUGACUUAAUUCUGACAUAAAGCCCAUAUAAAAUGCAGCGGAUGCUGUGUUCACCAUCACAGGCACUUUUGAACAGUAUUAAUCUUCUCAUGGAAAAAAUGGAGUGUUCCUUUACAUGUCUAGGAAGUCAGAUUAAACAUAGAUUUCUAAUGCCAGAAUGGCUAGCUCACAAGACUAGAUGAUCUUAAUGAUCGGCCUCUGUGACUCAGAGUUCCAUGUUAUCCAGGAAAAAAAAAAA